AAAGUCUUAUUUCCAUGCCGUUCUUGAGGAAAUGCUCCGGAUGGAGGUUUCAUUUGGGGAGUUUGCUUCUGUGCCUACAGACUGGAGGUGCUGGGCCCCUCACCAAGCCUGUGUGGCUGAGCCAGCAGGUCCUCGUCCUCUACCUCAGAGUUUUCUUCAGCUGUCCUAUUGGUGAGGCAUUUUGUCUUUUAGAAAUUUUGUGUCCAGCUAUCACCCUUAACCUUGUAAAAAGCUUCACCAAGACGUCAUGUUACAGCCAAGUUCCAGCAAGAUCAGAUACACAGAUUCACCAACCAGCCGGUCAAUCAACUACUUCUUCAAGACCUCCAGCCCCUGACGCCCAAGACGGAGUCCUAAAGCUCAUGUCCAACUCCUCCAGCUCAACCAGACCCCAAGGGCCGCUCCCUCCAUCCUUUGAGGAAGUACCUCUUUUUCGUAACCCCUCAGGGAAUUUCCCCUACUGCUACACUUCCUCAGGUUUGACACCUGUGACCAGAUCCUUCAAAUCUCUUCCCCAACCUUUGCUCCUAUGGGGUUCUUUUUCUGGUGCAAUGCUGCUCUAACAAAAAUCUAAGCCUCGUCAUGCCGUUUGCUUUUUGUGUUCCUUCCACCUUGGUCCCUCAAUUAACUCUGUACAGUGAGGCUGAAUUAACCUGGCUUGUCACCACCUCCCUUUCCAGGGCAAGGUGGGCCGUCUUUCUACCAGUAGUGAUUGGACUCUCCCUGGCCUCCUCCCUCGCUGCCUCUGGACUGGGGGCAGGAGGACUUGGUUAUGCAGUAACUGCUUACUCAGAAGCUUGAACAACUUAGGGAAGUGGAAGAAGCAUCUGCCGCCUCUCUGACUUCCCUACAAAGGCAAAUAACAUCCAUUGCCCAAGUUUCAUUACAGAACCGUGGAGCCCUGGAUCUCCUGACAGCAGACCAAGGAGGAACCUGUCUAUUCCUGAAAGAAGAAUGCUGCUACUACAUCCAUGACACUGGAUUGGUCAAAAAGAACGUCGACACCCUCCGUUGAUUGGGUGAAAGGCUUAAAUAGCAACAAUCAAACGACCCCUGGCCAAGCUGGCUAAAGUCAACCCUCAUUACGUGGCUGACUCCCAUUCUCACUCCUCUGUUAGUAAUAGGACUUCUAUUAAUGGUCGCUCCCUGCCUCCUCAGGUUCGCCUAAAAGUACAUGAGUGAAAUCACCAGAGUGACCUACAACCAGAUGCUCCUACACCCCUACAGUCGCCUCCCCACCAAACUGACACCCUUCCAGAACCUCUAGCCAGCAGGAAGUAGCCAGAUGGAAUUUGGCACCCUAUAUCAUCAAAAAGGCCAGGACGCUACGUAUGUUGAGGGGGCUAAGGGAAUCAAAGCACCAGGCAACAACCAAUCAGGGGCCAACAGAAAGCAGUGAUAAUCACCUGUCAAUCAGUGUGGUCUCCUGACUGAUCCUGGAAGGACAUGGAGCUCAGCAAGAUCCUCUGACCAACCCCAGGAGGACAAGGGACCCUAAAAACCUCCCUUUCCUGUCCCAAGCCCUCCCUUCCUGCCCUAAGCCUGAUAAAUUUACAAUCCAUCUGAGCCUGGGUACGACUUCCCUGGACCCACUCUGUUGGACUAGAGGUUCUCACCCAGGAGCGAACCUCAAUAAAGCCUUGUUCAGCAGCUUUUAA